UGCUCACGAGGAUGUGUACACAGGGCUUUCAUUCAUGUACACUGGGAAUCAGGAGGCUUAGCAGGCAGCUGACAAACUAAAUACAGCUUCGGUAUGUGUCACGCUCUCAGAUACGCACUCAUCUUAUUGGAAAACACACAUCAAUGCAGAAAUUUGUGCCACUGAAGAGAGACAUCUCUUAUGCAAUCUACCAUUGGAACAUUGCUGACCGAUUGCAUUAGUAAAUGAGUAUGUAUAGCAGCUGAGAAAGUUGUAGCCCACUGUUUCACACCACUACAUGACAUUCACAAGCGUAGAGGUCAUAACUGAAGGAAGUGGUAAUCCAGAGUAAGCUGUUGAAAGAAAGCCUGAAAACUACCUUCACCCUUGGGAGCAACUACAGAUGAGGGCUACAGAUUCCCCCAUGAGACCCAGAGGAAUACCAGGCUAAAUCACCCGUUUUACUCCAUCCACCCCUAUACUCCCUGAAGCACUGACAGAUGUUGAUCUAUGAUGUGCAGGCACAUAGACGACCCUCUUUAUAGAGCAUGAGCCACGGUGACUAACAUAUUCAAGGAAAAACAAGAUAUCUGGUGAUCCAGUCAGGAUGCAAUCAUAGCACAGACAGAUUUUGUCUCUUCUUAUGCUUCGGAUGACACGCUUGUUGUGAGCCAUGAGGAAAUGUGUCUUUGCAAUAACAGAGAGUGUUCCGUGUGGGUGCUCUACUCGUGAAGAAUCAGGAGGGAGAUCACUGCAAUUUGUAUGAGGUUUUUAUUGCUGGGGUCGUCCUGCAUUCAGAACAAAGAGAAAACAAACGAGUUCCUACACUUUAAGUGACGUCAAACCUAAACUAUACUACCCGUUCCUUUGAGCAUUGCUAUGAAGAACAUAUGAAUCAAUAGACAUAAGGGGUCGUGAGCCACAGGUUGAGAACAUCAAGAGAGGCUGGAUGUGAUGGAUCCUGUUGUGGAGCUACUGUCCUCAUGUCUAUGAGGAAAGUCAAGACCAGAGAAAAGAGUAGCCAGUUCUAGGAGUAUUCCUGUGUCUUCAGCAUCUGUCUUUUUUCAGAUUUACUCUGAACUCACCAGUAUGACCAUGUAUGUCAUGGUCUCAUCGUCUGAAGUUAAGAGAUAAGAACUGAACCUAGACAACUCUACGCUUGAUGAACUUGGAACAGAAGUCUUUAUUCUGAAAUCCAUUCUCAGAACAUUUGUCAAGACAAAGCUUCUUCUUUCCACCAGCCCUGUGGACCAUCUCUGAGUUUGUUGACGAAAUUCCUGUUUCAACUAGCAGACAACUCAUAUGUAGCUCUUUUAAGGAAAAGACCUAAAUGUGUGUGUGUGUGUGUGUGUGUGUAUGUGUGUGUGUGUGUGUGUGUGUGUGUUCUGGGUAUGUGUUCAAACAACUUUGUACUUUUAUCAAUUUAAAAACAAUGUUUCAUGCAAGCACAGCAAUAUAUGUGUGUAGGUUUCAUAUUAAAAGUUUACCAUAUUGCGUUCAGU